rnacentral:ribozyme from 13 species
AGCCAAAAAGAAAAAGAGGGGUAAAAAGGAAGAGAGGGAGUAACGAGUGAGAUCGCUGUCUGUAAUUUCUUCUUUUAUUUGUUGUUGGAGUUUUUGUUUGUUAGGAUUUUUUAAAUG